UAAGGAAUAUUGGUCAAUGGACGCAAGUCUGAACCAGCCAUGCCGCGUGAAGGAUGAAGGUCCUCUGGAUUGUAAACUUCUUUUAUAUGGGACGAAACCCUCUUAUUCUUGAGAGACUGACGGUACCAUACGAAUAAGCACCGGCUAACUCCGUGCCAGCAGCCGCGGUAAUACGGAGGGUGCAAGCGUUAUCCGGAUUCACUGGGUUUAAAGGGUGCGUAGGAGGGCAGGUAAGUCAGUGGUGAAAUCUUCAAGCUUAACUUGGAAACUGCCGUUGAUACUAUCUGUCUUGAAUACCGUGGAGAUGAGCGGAAUAUGUCAUGUAGCGGUGAAAUGCUUAGAUAUGACAUAGAACACCAAUUGCGAAGGCAGCUCGUUACACGAAUAUUGACUCUGAGGCACGAAAGCGUGGGGAUCAAACAG
rnacentral:rRNA from 1 species